rnacentral:rRNA from 1 species
AUCCCUUGACAUGUAGAGAACUUUCUAGAGAUAGAUUGGUGCCUUCGGGAACUCUAACACAGGUGCUGCAUGGCUGUCGUCAGCUCGUGUCGUGAGAUGUUGGGUUAAGUCCCGCAACGAGCGCAACCCUUAUCAUUAGUUGCUACCAUUUAGUUGAGAACUCUAAUGAGACUGCCGGUGAUAAACCGGAGGAAGGCGGGGACGACGUCAAGUCAUCAUGGCCCUUAUGGGAUGGGCUACACACGUGCUACAAUGGGGGGUACAAAGAGCUGCCAACUGGCAACAGUGCGCGAAUCUCAAAAAACCCUUCGUAGUCCGGAUCGGAGUCUGCAACUCGACUCCGUGAAGU